rnacentral:rRNA from 1 species
AACCUACGGGAGGCAGCAGUGGGGAAUAUUGCACAAUGGGGGAAACCCUGAUGCAGCGACGCCGCGUGAGUGAAGAAGUAUUUCGGUAUGUAAAGCUCUAUCAGCAGGGAAGAAAAUGACGGUACCUGACUAAGAAGCACCGGCUAUAUACGUGCCAGCAGCCGCGGUAAUACGUAUGGUGCAAGCGUUAUCCGGAUUUACUGGGUGUAAAGGGAGCGCAGGCGGCACGGCAAGCCUGAUGUGAAAGCCCGCGGCCCAACCGCGGGACUGCAUUGGGAACUACCGGGCUGGAGUGCCGGAGAGGG